CCUACGGGAGGCAGCAGUGGGGAAUAUUGGACAAUGGGGGAAACCCUGAUCCAGCGACGCCGCGUGAGUGAAGAAGUAUUUCGGUAUGUAAAGCUCUAUCAGCAGGGAAGAAAAUGACGGUACCUGAAUAAGAAGCCCCGGCUAACUACGUGCCAGCAGCCGCGGUAAUACGUAGGGGGCAAGCGUUAUCCGGAUUUACUGGGGGUAAAGGGAGCGUAGACGGUGGUGCAAGUCUGGAGUGAAAGGCCGGGGCUCAACCCCGGGACUGCAUUGGAAACUGUAGGGCUGGAGUGCAGGAGAGGUAAGCGGAAUUCCUAGUGUAGCGGUGAAAUGCGUAGAUAUUAGGAGGAACACCAGUGGCGAAGGCGGCUUACUGGACUGUAACUGACGUUGAGGCUCGAAAGCGUGGGGAGCAAACAGGAUUAGAUACCCGAGUAGUC
rnacentral:rRNA from 1 species